rnacentral:misc_RNA from 1 species
UGCUGCAAUGUAGGACUCACGGGG